rnacentral:misc_RNA from 1 species
AAUCAGCUCCUGCUGUUAUAGUCUUGCCAGUGUCCAUUGAGUUGGUCUUAGCUAGAGCCUUUCUACGUUUGUAUGUCAAAGGCAGCAUAGGUUCAUCUUUAAACCCCUCAGAAACACUGGAAUUGCUUAAUAGCUUCUCCGAUUUUUUUUCACUGAUGUCACUCUCACCUCUUGUUGGAUCUGAAGAAGAUGCCAUUAACACUUCCUGCUUACCAUUACCAAUGGCUGAAGUUCUGGGAACAGCUUCUGGAAUUCUUGGAAAUGCAUUGAUAUGCCUGUCUUUCAUGAGUGCCAUUCGCUGUUGCCUGCCGUGAUAUUGGACACCAGAUGGGGUAGAUUCCAAGGAUCUCAGGGAAAAGUCUUCAGUUCCUUUGCGCAAAUGUGGCCACAAACUUUCAAUACCAAAGGCGUGCCCCCUUGCACUCAUUAGAUUCAUUGGUCGAAAUUCCUCAACAGGGUCCCUUCUCACAUCACCUGCCAACAAAGCAUGUUUUCCUAAAACCGUAAUGUCAUCUGGAGAAGGCAUUAUUGGCCUCUCUAUUUUUCUAGUAGAGCUUUCUGAGUGACUACUAGUUCUCAUACUACUUUCUUGCUGAUUCAGUAGAUAAUGAGGUUGAUUUAGAGUUGAAUGAACUCUGCUACCAUCAACCUUAUGCCUUAAAAAUGGUGAUCCAUAUAGGCCACCUGCAUCUGGAAAGUGUGUAUGUGCUGGGAAAGAAAACUUAAAAUCCUGUAAACCUUGGGUCCUGACCAGAAAUGUUGGUUGUGCUCCCCUUGGCACCACUUCUGAUUGUUCCAGCCAGACAGAAGGAACUUUAGGUACUAUUUUCAACAAUCCCUUGGGUACAGAUCGACGCUGCUCUGAAAUGUCACUGCCAAUUAUUUUUGGAUUGUGAUUUGGGAAUAAGCCAUUCCCAGAUGCCUUCAUCUUUAAAACCCCCUUUGCUCUGUGUUUUGGAGCAAAUUUCAUUCCAUUGGCAGAUAGAGUUGGCAAAACAUCUUUUGCUGUCUUUCGCUCCUCUGGCUUCAUUCCCUUUGUGUGCAAGCUAACCUCCUCACUUAACAGUUGAUCAUCCUUGGGAAAUUUGUUAAGAUCAAGCAAAUUGAUGGCUUUCUGUUUUCUCUUAUUUUUCCACAUAGAAAUCCUUUCCUCAACACCAGAGCUCAUUUCACACUGAUCCCACAUCCUUCUCAUAUGUAUGAACAUUUGUG